ACAAAGGAUAAACAAAGACAUUGAGUAUGUUUACAUGCACAUAAUAAGAGGACAAUUAUCUUAUUAUGAUAUUAUAAAAAUCAGCUUAUUACAUUAACAUGUUUCAAGCGUUUUAAUUUACUUUUAUUUGUGAAGUUUAUCUAUCACAGGUGGAGACAUACGCACAUACGAAACGGCAAAAAAAGACUUUAAAAUCUGGUUUAAGAGCAAAAAAACUACCUGUGCCAAUCAGUUUUUGCCAUUUAUGGGCUUUACCCUAUAAAAGAAAACCAUUUUAUGCAUUUAAAUGACCUUACACGUUAUCAGUUUAUUAAGCGUUUAGACUAUGUAGACACACUCACUGUGCACUAAAAUUAAAAAAAUUGGUUAACACGACCACUCGUGGUGGCUUCACUCAGAGGUUGGAGAAGACAACCGGUGGACUAAACAUCAAGCCUCUGCACGAUUCAGGUAAGUGGAAUAAAAUACAUUGUAAAUAAACAUUAUUAAAACAGAUUGUGAAGUCAUUCAUUCAAAACUUGCUAUGACCUAAGCCUAAAUGACUUAAUUUCUUUUUAGAAUUAAGACAACCUUAGCAGGAGAGCCCCAGCAGUAACUUUCUCUCAAGCAGAUGAGCAAUAAGUUGCUUUGUAUGAACACCACCCUAACAAUCAAGUAGCCUGUUAACAGUAGACCAAAGGUAUGAUGAUCAAUUAUAAAUGCAAUAUGGUUGAAAGCUUGACAAAAAUGUAGCUUGAAGGAGAAGGGACAGCUGAGUAACAAAGUCCUGGUAUGCAGACGACGAUACUAUUACACUGACAAGAGUGUAAUGAUGAUGGAGACACAAGCCAGAGAAAGGGGGGACCAAACACCAGGCCAGAAUUCUGCAUGAGUCAGAUCCAGUGGGUGCAGAUCAUCAUACAGAUGGUUCAAGUGUGGAUCCACCUAAUAUUCAAGAUUUUCUGUCCUGGGACACUCGGCUAACCAUCAAGAAAGAACACACUCCAGUGGGCAUCCAUUAUCCAUCCAGACCCUCAUACAGAUGGUUGGAAUUUUGAUUCACCUAAAGUACCAUGCAAGAGCACUCAUUUUCACUCUUGAGACCAUGGUGUGACCUGCAAGGUCGAAUGGAGACUGUAAACGAGACAAUCUUGGAGUCACCUGCCUUCACUGGUUCAGUUGUUAGUCCAAUUACAGAUGGAGAUUAUAGAAGAGGAUGAUGUCUUUUCUCCAACAUCUUUCUAGACUGAUAAAAGAUCUAGACAGGCUUGAACAAAAGUUAACAGACAGAGGGGCUUAUAUAGAGAAUGGUGAGCAGCUACACAUAAAAGAAGAACAUGGAGAAUCUGCCCAGAGGUGUUAACCAGCAAUGCAGCUAUACAACUAAAUUGAUGCAGGCGGAAACAAUGUGUAAUGCAGCUGCUGCAGAUGAAGAAUCUGUCCGUCUACCACUGAAGGAGACGCGGAAAAUCGGGAAAAGAUGUUCUUUGCCCGAGGAAGCAUUUGAUUAAUUUAAAGAUAUUGUGUUUCUUUGUAUGUUAUAGAAAA